rnacentral:rRNA from 1 species
CAUUUCCUUAGUAACGUAGCUAACGCGUGAAGUUGACCGCCUGGGGAGUACGGUCGCAAGAUUAAAACUCAAAGGAAUUGACGGGGACCCGCACAAGCGGUGGAUGAUGUGGAUUAAUUCGAUGCAACGCGAAAAACCUUACCUACCCUUGACAUGGUCGGAAUCCCGCUGAGAGGUGGGAGUGCUCGAAAGAGAACCGGCGCACAGGUGCUGCAUGGCUGUCGUCAGCUCGUGUCGUGAGAUGUUGGGUUAAGUCCCGCAACGAGCGCAACCCUUGUCCUUAGUUGCUACGCAAGAGCACUCUAAGGAGACUGCCGGUGAC